AGUUGUAUCCUGGCUCAGGAUGAACGCUGGCGGUAUGCCUAACACAUGCAAGUCGUACGGGAGUUUUUAACUCCAGUGGCGGACGGGUGAGUAACACGUGAGUAUUUACCUUUAGGAGGGGGAUAACAGUUGGAAACGGCUGCUAAAACCCCAUAUGCUUUAGAGUCAAAUAGAUUUAUCUGCCUAAAGAAAAGCUCGCGGCUGAUUAGCUAGUUGGUAAGGUAAUGGCUUACCAAGGCGACGAUCAGUAUCUGGUUUGAGAGGACGAUCAGACACACUGGAACUGAGACACGGUCCAGACUCCUACGGGAGGCAGCAGUGGGGAAUUUUCCGCAAUGGGCGAAAGCCUGACGGAGCAAUACCGCGUGAGGGAAGACUGCCUAUGGGUUGUAAACCUCUUUUUUCAGGGAGGAAUAAAUGACGUGUACCUGAAGAAUAAGCAUCGGCUAACUCCGUGCCAGCAGCCGCGGUAAGACGGAGGAUGCAAGUGUUAUUCGGAAUCACUGGGCGUAAAGCGUCUGUAGGUGGUUGUUUAAGUCAACUGUUAAAUCUUGAGGCUCAACCUCAAAAUCGCAGUCGAAACUAUUCAACUAGAGUAUAGUAGGGGUAAAGGGAAUUUCCAGUGGAGCGGUGAAAUGCGUAGAUAUUGGAAAGAACACCGAUGGCGAAGGCACUUUACUGGGCUAUUACUAACACUCAGAGACGAAAGCUAGGGUAGCAAAUGGGAUUAGAUACCCCAGUAGUCCUAGCUGUAAACAAUGGAUACUAGAUGUUGAACAGAUCGACCUGUGCAGUAUCAAAGCUAACGCGUUAAGUAUCCCGCCUGGGAAGUAUGCUCGCAAGAGUGAAACUCAAAGGAA
rnacentral:rRNA from 1 species